rnacentral:tRNA from 1 species
AGGGCGAAGCACUUUUGUUCUUUGAACAAAAGGCAGCGCUUUGGUUCUAUAGAACCUUUUGUUCGAUAGAAC